AAGUCGUAACAAGGUCUCCGUUGGUGAACCAGCGGAGGGAUCAUUAAAGAGUUUAAAACAACUCCUAAACCCAUGUGAACAUACCUUCUGUUGCCUCGGCAGGUCGCGCUUACCCUGUAGCGCCUUACCCUGUAAGGCCUACCCGGAAGGCGCGGGUAACCCCUGCCGGCGGCCCAAGAAACUCUGUUUAGCAUUGAAUUCUGAAUAUAUAACUAAAUAAGUUAAAACUUUCAACAACGGAUCUCUUGGUUCUG
rnacentral:misc_RNA from 1 species